AUCAUUGUCUAUUGAGAUAUAGUAUACAAAAUGGAGAAGACAUCAAUUGUUAAUUUGCUCUCUCUUAUUGCCUUGAUAAUUUUGUUAGGUUCACCAUCACGUAUGGUAUCAGGACAUGUAUCUCAAAAGUGUCACAUUAAAGAAGACUGUAAUCCUGCAUCGUGCAUCGAUGGUGGAAUUAUGAUUUGUUUCCAGCAAAUUUGUACGUGUGUAUGGUGGGAUCAUAAGGAAGGGCAAAAAAAUACAAUGAUUGUAUAAGCAUAUGUCCACCUAAAAAUGUAUUGGAUUUUGCUUUUGUAAUGAUUGUUAAAUCCAAAAUUAAGACAUGUUUAAGGUACACAAAAAAUAUUUUAUCUUAUUAAA